rnacentral:rRNA from 1 species
CCUACGGGUGGCAGCAGUGGGGGAUAUUGCACAAUGGGGGGAACCCUGAUGCAGCGACGCCGCGUGGGUGAAGAAGCGCCUCGGCGCGUAAAGCUCUGUCAGCAGGGAAGAAAAUGACGGUACCUGAAGAAUAAGCCCCAGCUAAUUACGUGCCAGCAGCCGCGGUCAUACGGAGGGUGCAAGCGUUAUCGGGAUUGACUGGGGGUAAAGGGGGCGCAGAUGGCGAGGCAAGCCAGGAGGGAAAGCCCGGGGCCCAACCCCGGUAGUGCGGUUGAAACUGCGUGGCUGGAGUGCAGGAGGGGGAGGCGGAAUGCGUGGUGUAGCGGUGAAAUGCGUAGAUAUCAGGAGGAACACCGAUGGCGAAGGCAGCCUGCUGGACUGCAACUGACGUUGAGGCGCGAAAGCGUGGGGAGCAAACAGGAUUAGAUACCCGAGUAGUC